GAAAUUAAUAAAAUAAUAACAAAUUAUCCAUAUGCUUUCUAAAAAUUAGCACCAUGUGCUUGACUUCUAUGGAAAUCUUCAAAGGCAACUCAAACUUUUAUUUCUUUAUUGCAAUUGGAAACUUUUUAUUUUUUAUUUUUAUUUUUUUUUUCACAAUUUGGAAACUUUUAUUUAUUUAUUUUUUGUUUUUUUUUCCCGAUUGGAAGUAGCUAUAGCAGUCUAGUAGUUGUUGUAACAAAUCUGAAAUUGAAGCUCUGUUUCAUGGAGAAGCCUUUUUAAAGGACCAUAGAUCUCCAUGUCUCCAAGCUCAAACAAAUAGGAACAAUAUGGUUUCCAUGGCAAACGCUUGUUUCCUCUGUCUUCUUCUCUCACCAGUCCUUUCUCUCCUUCAAGCUACUGCCAAGAAAACUUACAUUGUCCAUANN
rnacentral:lncRNA from 1 species